rnacentral:lncRNA from 1 species
UAUUUGCAGCAGUUCUUGAUCCUACAAUAAGAUAGGGGUUGGAAUAUUUAAGAAGGGUUAAUUGUAUUUGUUGACUACAUACUGUAUGCAAGACAGUUUACAAAAUAAUAUAACCUAUGUUGCAACUCUGAGACAUUUGGUUAUCUAUAUGCUGCAUUUUAAAAAUUGCAAUUUACAAAAUUUUAUGUCAAGUUAAUUAGUCCCAAACUCUAGGGCAGAAGAAUAUGGGGAGUAAAAGAAAGUUUAAUUGAAGAAAUGGCCCCUGGGCAGCUAUCAGAAGAUGAAGGAGCAGCCUGAGCCUGGAGGGGAACAAACAGUGUUCUCAUUAGGGGACACAGUGUUUGCAUAGGAUCUACAGUAGGAGGGAUCUUGACUUGAGGGCAGAUAGUAUGGGACACAUACAAUACCAUGGAGGCUGCCGCAGGUAUCAGGGCUCUACUAAAGUCCAUUGAAGGACUCUGAAUCAAAAGGAAGUCAUGGGUGUGAAUGAACCUACACUUUUAUUACAACAGUUGUGUUGUUUGCACACAUGGUUAUAAUUGUAGUAUGGAGAAGAGUUUGACAUAAUGUUAGUUCAAUAAUCUAUGUGAAUUACAGUGAUGAUUCAAUAGCAUGUUGGCAGAAGAGCUAGAGAGACACAUAGCAUGAGGAUAUGAGUGAAGUUGACUGAAAAUAUUGACGCGAGGAGAUAAGGAGGUUAGAAAGAUAUUAAAAAUGGCACAGAUGUGAAUGACAAUGCUAUCAUCUUAGAGAUGGGAAGCACCAAGAGAAAAAGCCAACUUUUCCUAAUUUAAGUGUUUGUUCAUUUUAAAAUAUAGUGCUGGAUUAAGGGCAUGCAGUUUAUAGGUGGUUUGGGCACACACCUCUCCUGUGAUACUUGAUAAAAGCAAUGUAAAAGGGCAAUUGGGAUUGAGAGCCUGAAAUUUAGAAGAGAAAUCUAGGCUCAUAGAUUUAAUGAUGGGCGAUGACCAAAUCUCUGAAAAAUUGUGAACCAAUCAGAGUUACCUGAUAGAAGGAAACUAAUAUAACUACUGUCAGAGUGAAAAGGAAGUGGGUGUCUCAAACAUAAAGAAGGAUAUAUAAAGUGUCAAAUAUGCUGGGAGAUCAACUGAGGAAGAAGACAGUUGUUUUUUGGCGACAAGAAGGCAGUAGCUGAUGUUAGCAGAUUCAAUCCAGAGAUCUGAUGGGGAUAGAAGCAAGAUGGCCGAAGGGCUGAAAGAGGAUGAGAACACAGACAGGUCUGGUUAUUAGUUUAGAGUAGUGGCCAGAACUGGAAGAAAAAGUAAUAGAGAAUUGCAUGUUAGCUAGCUGUAUACUGCUAUUGGGAUACAGUACUAUGAAGUAUAAAUGAAUUGAAAAAAAACCCAACCCAAAGGCUUAUUUUGACUCACAAUUUUGAAAUUCCCAGUUCAAGAUCACGGAGACUCAACACAUCUGAUUGGGGAGCAAGAUGUCAAAGGCAGGGUGCACGUGUGGUGGGAAAACUGCUAAAAUCAUGGUAAUGAAUCAAAGUAUCUAUUCAGGAUCAAGGUCACAAUGAUAUAAGGACAUUCUACAAGAUCCCACCUUCUAACAGUCCACAGCACAAUAGUAUCACCCUAGCAACCAAAGUUUUAACACAUGGAUCUUUGGGAGUCAGAUAGUUCAGACUAUAACAGAAAAAAAAAUGAUGUUCUGAGUAGAGAAGAGAGAGUUUGUGUUCAGGCAGAAGGUUUGAAAUGCUUGGGGAAGAACACAAAAGAUGGAGAGUUUCAUGGGCAAGAGGAUUAGAUUUGAUAUCUUACUCCAAAUUUGAUGAGAGUGUAUUGAAAAUACUUUAGAGAAAAAAUAUCAAUUCCCUGCUAUAUAUUGGCACUACAUGAGACUGUUUACAGAAAGAAGACUGAAGGUGGGGGCAGGGUAUAUAGAAUGGGACUGGCAAAUGGGACCAAUUAGGAUUCCACUUGUUCUACAGACAGCCAAUAUUUAACAUCUGCUAUAUGCCAGACAUCUGUAAUCCAGUCUAGAGGAAUUGUCAUUUGGAUUUGGACAAGGAAAAUGUGGUCCUCCUUGAGGUUUGUUUUGUAGAUAGAGCUAAUGGGUUUCCUAACGAAAACUGUGAGUAUGCAAGGAAGGAAUGAUCUAAGUAAGGGUGGUUCAAGGCUUUGGCUUUUGCAAUAAUUGUGUGGGAGUGAGAGUAGGACUCCUAGAGAAUCCCAAAGAAGGAGAACAGCAACAAGAGUACUUUUCCAGAUUCCAUGGAAGAAUGGUAAUUUCUCAGUUAUUUCCUCGUUGAAACUUCCAAAGCUGGUCUUCAGAUAAGCAAUUGACCUGAAGAUCUUUAAGAUUCCUUCCAGUCAGUUUAGCAAACCAGGAACAAUAGCUAGCUUCAGUGCUUCCGAAGAGGUGUUUUUCUUGUCGUUAUUGAUAUUUUUUAAUGUAUUUGUAUGUAUGUGUGUGUGAACAUGCCAUGGUGUGUGUUUGUGAAGGUCAGAGGACAACCUUGGUUGACAAUCCUAUUAUGUUGUGUAAAGUGGGAAUUCUUUACUGUUCCACACUGAGAACAUGCCUCCUUUUUUAAUCUCUUGAUGGGAGUAUUAGAAUUACAGAUGUGGUACUAGGCCCAAAUUUUAUUGAUUGUUGUGACACAAACUCUGAUCUUUAUGUUCCUAAGGCAUAUCCAGUAACCACCUCCCCAAACACUGAUAUUUUCAUUUACAAACAAGUCACUUUCCAAAGCACAUUUAGCCUGCUUUGUAAAUGGUCUUUUUUCCUUAUGCUGAACAGCAUGCAUUAUAUUUGAAAUACAAUAGCAAAAAUUAGGGCUGAAGAUGUAGCUCAAUCAAGUAGAGCACUUAGCCUGUAUGUGAAGGGCCCUAGAUUCUGGUUACUGCAUUGCAGAAGGAAAUAAAUAAAUGAACAGAAAUCUCCUUUCAAUGUAAAAUCAGCCAUUGUCAAAAGUCUCCCCAGGAGAGAGAAAACUAUACCCCCAAUUAUCUCCCCUCACAUGUAUUCAGCUAUUAUCUCCCCUC